rnacentral:rRNA from 1 species
UACGUAGGGUGCAAGCGUUAAUCGGAAUUACUGGGCGUAAAGCGUGCGCAGGCGGCUUUGCAAGACAGAUGUGAAAUCCCCGGGCUUAACCUGGGAACUGCAUUGGUGACUGGCAGGCUUUGAGUGUGGCAGAGGGAGGUAGAAUUCCACGUGUAGCAGUGAAAUGCGUAGAGAUGUGGAGGAAUACCGAUGGCGAAGGCAGCCUCCUGGGCCAACACUGACGCUCGAUGCACGAAGCGUGGGGAGCAA